rnacentral:rRNA from 1 species
AGUGAACGCUGGCGGUAGGCCUAACACAUGCAAGUCGAACGGCAGCACAGAGGAGCUUGCUCCUUGGGUGGCGAGUGGCGGACGGGUGAGGAAUACAUCGGAAUCUACUCUGUCGUGGGGGAUAACGUAGGGAAACUUACGCUAAUACCGCAUACGACCUACGGGUGAAAGCAGGGGACCUUCGGGCCUUGCGCGAUUGAAUGAGCCGAUGUCGGAUUAGCUAGUUGGCGGGGUAAAGGCCCACAAAGGCGACGAUCCGUAGCUGGUCUGAGAGGAUGAUCAGCCACACUUGAACUGAGACACGGUCCAGACUCCUACGGGAGGCAGCAGUGGGGAAUAUUGGACAAUGGGCGCAAGCCUGAUCCAGCCAUACCGCGUGGGUGAAGAAGGCCUUCGGGUUGUAAAGCCCUUUUGUUGGGAAAGAAAUCCAGCUGGCUAAUACCCGGGUGGGAUGACGGUACCCAAAGAAUAAGCACCGGCUAACUUCGUGCCAGCCGCCGCCGUAA